UUUUCCCGUAUCUAAAUCCAACAGCAAAAAUCCCUCUGCGUAAGUCUAUUUUGCGAGAGUGUUUCGUAGAGUUUAUAGUUCGAUAGGGCGAUCACGAGUGAGGCGUGAUUCGUCUGCCAUGGUUUUAUCCUGGGACUCUAUAUUCGUACAGUUCCGUCUCACUAACGGAGCGAAUAUUUUGAGUUAAGGAAAGAGAUCAUAUCUCGACUCCAUGUCUCUUUGCGAAUACGAUUUCUUAUCGUUCUUGUAUUCGUCUUUACAUUCGUAUAUUUCCUUAACAUCGUUUCUUAUUUUAUCGUUUAUGUCAGUCCGGUUUUCCGGCUUUUACAGGCCUGUCCCGUUCCACAGCAGUCUUCAGUUCCAGCGGGUCUCUGUGCGUCGUCCCGUUUGAUACUGCGGUCCCGUUAGGGCAUUACCAAUCCGCUCUGCAAUUAACAUGGGCUUGGCGGACCGGCUCACGGGACACGAUAUAACUUCAUUCCUUGCAAAAACAAGUCACAACAUUAGUAAUUUUUCUUAACAUGCAAACUAAAACAUUAGUAAUUUUUCUUAACAUGCAAACUAACAUAUGCUCGACUUAUCCUAAACGGGCUGGAAAAUGCUACUACAUCACAUACAAUUAGUUUUUUCGUUUAUCUAUAAUAAUAAUUUGGGGUUUUCUCUCACCUCAGCCCUCCACGUCCUUCUUUUUGAUGUGGGCAUUUGUCGCCACGUGUCGGCUCUUAACUGGUUACGUCUUUUUUUUUCUUUUCCCAUUUCUCUUUUGGAUUCUGGCGUUUUCUCUUUUGGGCUCUGGUGUUUUCUUAUUUGUUCAAUGAUCGCAGUCCAUCUGAAGCACGCCUAGGGUUUCGACGUCUCAUCUUUGUCUUCGUCUUCUACCUUUUCACAUCGGCCGCGAGACCACGCAGCGAUUCGAGGCUGUUCAGUAUGCCUAACGCCUCCGAUUUCAAUAACUUUGCAGCUCGCCUCCAACCUAUGCUGCUGUUUCAGAGCAUUCAUAUAUUUAAAAUCAAACUACUGCUGAGCUCUUUAUUGGUCAUUUGGACAAUUCUGAGGCUGAGGACAGUUGCAAGGUAAUUUUUGUUUACCUAUCAUCUUGGUAAGAGACCGAUAUCAAGAUCUUAUAAAUGUAAAGUACAGAACUUUCUCAGCUGUUGUGGGACCCUUAGUCAUCGUUGAAAGAGUGAAGGUUUUUGAAAAAAUUGGCACCGUUCAAUCCACUGGAGAGGCAUAGUGCCAAGAUCAGUGUAUAUAUCUAGGAAGUCUUCUUCUGCAGCUGCGUUGACUGCAACUGUGGCUAAAGAACCUGAAACUGGCUGGUGCUUUGAUGCUUGAUAAUAGAUUAGGUUGCGUUCACGAGUUUGACAACCUGAAUAUCAAAAACCAGGCUGCUAUUCGAGAAGCCAUGGAGCAGCCACAAUAACCACCUUUCUGUGCGUAGAUCCGUCUACUCUCCAUGCUCGAGGAAUAUAACUUAUCAGGCAGUCAAGAGAGGAAGAACACCGAGACCUAUGGGUGUAUACUUAUCUUCAUUCCAUCAGAAAGUUUUGGCCAAUAUAAUAUUUUCAAGCUAUAGGUUUCUGCAUGUUAAAAGAUCUGAUGAAGCUCCAGGAAACAGCUCAUAGCAGAAUGCACCAACCAAAGACUUUCCUGGAAUGUCAACUGGUGCAGGUGGUGCUGCAACCAGGUGGUGCUGCAACCAACGAAGACUUUCCUUGAGAGCCAGAAUACACCAGAUUCUUAAACCUAACAAGAAAGCCAAUCAGCGCUAGAUAGUGGACCUAUACCAACCGCAUCUCAAUGGAUCCUUCAGCAGAGGACUUGAAAUUGUUGGCGUACAAGUUUAAGAGCAAUCUGUUAAUAAAGCAGUAUAAUUUCAGAUUACUUGGCAUCCAAGUUAAGAAGUUUUGUACUAUAUUUAGCGAACUUACCUUACGAAUUUUUUUUUCAAUCUGCUUCUGGAGAUUUCUAACUCCUGCUUCUCUGCAGUAGUUUUCUAUCAAGAAAAGAAGAGCUGCGUCGCUCACAUCAACCUGUUCAGGCUUAAUGCCACAUUUUCUAUGUGCAGUUUUCACCAAAUUGUCUCUAAAAAUAUAUUUUAUUUGACCUCAGUCCGCUGCAAGAAAAUAAGUUGAACAUCCACACAUAGCUUGACAAACAAGCACCCAACAAGGGAAAAAAUUUAACAACAUAAUUUACAACUACAACAAAGGAUCACGAUGGACAGUCCAAAAUAUUAACACCUAAACAAAACUUAGUAAGCCAAUGCUGCAUACGACAGCCUAGGUGAUACAACCAAUUAAACAUUAUGAAAAUAUAAAUACAGUUUAUCUAUUUAAAAUAUUACAUAUAAAUUAAACUCAAAAGAAUCAAACUACCGAAUACUUUUUUUAUCCGAAGUAAUUAAAAAUAUAACCAAGAACAUUUUAAUCUAAAAUAUCUAAAAUUUAUCCAAAUUAUCUGAUAUUUUAAUUGAAAAAUACAAAAAACUUUGAUUUACCGAAUUAUCCAAAAUUG